CUCUCUCUCUCUCUCUCUCGCAAAAAAUUUUGAUCCCUUUCGGAUUAACUUUUCUUUUCUGAAUUUCUCAAUUUUUUACGAUUUGAGCUGCACGUCUUGUUGUUUCGUUGUUCCUUUGAGAGAUUUGGUGGGUUUUGGUGUAUAAAUUAUAACAUUCGUUGGAUUUGGAAAAUUAAGACCAAAAUUUCGUUUAAUUCUGUUAAUUCUAUUGAAUUAAACUUUAAUUAUUGAAUUUGGAAUGCGGAAUUAUGGAAACUAUGAAUUUGGACCUCGCAGAUCUGAAAGCUGGAGGACGGUGUUUAACUGUUUAUUAUGUCUAGCUGUGGAUCAUUGAAAGAUAUUUUCUGCUGCUUUUGCUGCCUGGGCUUUUUAAGCGUUAAUGGUUCAGAGUUUGCUCUUUAAGUUCUGGAAUUAUUGAUUUAUAAUCGAUAGGUGAUUUUCCUUUUGAGUGUCUUAAUGCAAUGUGAGCAUCUUUUUCUUUGUCAUGAAUCAUGAUGAGUGAAGUCUCCAAAAGUUUUUACAUUGAAGCGAAGUGAAGUGAAAAAUCAAUACAAUGUCAGUGUUUUAGUUGAUUUCCUUGUUUCCUUUUUAGCUAAUUCUAUUUAUUGCCUUAGGUUUCUAGUUGAAUGAUGUUUACUGUUGUAAUCCUGAUUCCGUUCAUGUUUUUUGCUGUCAUUUUGAGUGUCAACACCUACACUUCAUGCUAUAUCUCAGAGGAUGUAAUCUUUUGAAUAUUGUUUCCAGGAGAACAUAUUUGAAUGGCAAU
rnacentral:misc_RNA from 1 species